rfam:Cavia porcellus supercont2_0 genomic scaffold, whole genome shotgun sequence.
GGGGAUAUAGCUCAGCAGCAUAAGUACCUGCCUUGCAAGCAGGCAGUCGUGAGUUCGAUCCCCGGUAGCCCCA